GACGAACGCUGGCGGCGUGCUUAACACAUGCAAGUCGAACGGUGAAGCGCCUUCCUUUUUGGUGGGUGUGGAUGAGUGGCGAACGGGUGAGUAACACGUGAGUAACCUGCCCCCUUCUUCUGGAUAACCGCAUGAAAGUGUGGCUAAUACGGGAUAUUCUGGGUCUGUCGCAUGAUGCGUCUGGGAAAGAUAUUGUUUCGGUGGGGGAUGGGCUGGCGGCCUAUCAGGUUGUUGGCGGGGUGAUGGCCUACCAAGGCGGUGACGGGUAGACGGCCUGGGCGGGUUGGCGGGCUCGUCGGGGAGGAGACACCGCCCCAACUCCAACGGGAGGCAGCCGAGGCGAAUAGUGGACGAUGGGGGCAAGCCUGAUGCAGCGACGCCGCGAGUGUGAUGGAGGCCUUCGGGUUGAGAGCCUCUUUCGCCAGUGAAGCAGGCCUGCCUUGUCUGUGGGUGGGUUGACGGUAGCUGGAGAAGAAGCGCCGGCUAACUACGUG
rnacentral:rRNA from 1 species